AGGACUCACUGGGCAAAACAUGGUACCAAUAAGUUUGUCACUAUCAGAUAGAGUUACAUUGUUGCUGCCAAUGGUGGGACUCGCAUUUGAUUUGGUCUGUUUCUCUUGUAUAUAUCUGUGGCCUUUCGCAGAGAUCUAUCUGGUUCAUGAAUCUUCACAGAUAUGAUACUUGUUUUUGAAAUUCGAACAUAUGCUCUUUUCAAGAAUCACUGUUAAGUGUUCAGUUCUGUUUCUGUUAUAAAGGCAUCUAGUAACUUCUUGCCACCAGGAUGUAGGAUGUGGAUGAAAUUAUUUUUCUUUGAAGAGAUUCAUUUAAGGGAGGAAAAGAUGUUAUCCAAAAUCCAACAAAAAAAAAA
rnacentral:misc_RNA from 1 species